UAAGCGACUAAGCGUACACGGUGGAUGCCCUGGCAGUCAGAGGCGAUGAAGGACGUGCUAAUCUGCGAUAAGCGUCGGUAAGGUGAUAUGAACCGUUAUAACCGGCGAUUUCCGAAUGGGGAAACCCAGUGUGUUUCGACACACUAUCAUUAACUGAAUCCAUAGGUUAAUGAGGCGAACCGGGGGAACUGAAACAUCUAAGUACCCCGAGGAAAAGAAAUCAACCGAGAUUCCCCCAGUAGCGGCGAGCGAACGGGGAGCAGCCCAGAGCCUGAAUCAGUGUGUGUGUUAGUGGAAGCGUCUGGAAAGGCGCGCGAUACAGGGUGACAGCCCCGUACACAAAAAUGCACAUGCUGUGAGCUCGAUGAGUAGGGCGGGACACGUGGUAUCCUGUCUGAAUAUGGGGGGACCAUCCUCCAAGGCUAAAUACUCCUGACUGACCGAUAGUGAACCAGUACCGUGAGGGAAAGGCGAAAAGAACCCCGGCGAGGGGAGUGAAAAAGAACCUGAAACCGUGUACGUACAAGCAGUGGGAGCACGCUUAGGCGUGUGACUGCGUACCUUUUGUAUAAUGGGUCAGCGACUUAUAUUCUGUAGCAAGGUUAACCGAAUAGGGGAGCCGAAGGGAAACCGAGUCUUAACUGGGCGUUAAGUUGCAGGGUAUAGACCCGAAACCCGGUGAUCUAGCCAUGGGCAGGUUGAAGGUUGGGUAACACUAACUGGAGGACCGAACCGACUAAUGUUGAAAAAUUAGCGGAUGACUUGUGGCUGGGGGUGAAAGGCCAAUCAAACCGGGAGAUAGCUGGUUCUCCCCGAAAGCUAUUUAGGUAGCGCCUCGUGAAUUCAUCUCCGGGGGUAGAGCACUGUUUCGGCAAGGGGGUCAUCCCGACUUACCAACCCGAUGCAAACUGCGAAUACCGGAGAAUGUUAUCACGGGAGACACACGGCGGGUGCUAACGUCCGUCGUGAAGAGGGAAACAACCCAGACCGCCAGCUAAGGUCCCAAAGUCAUGGUUAAGUGGGAAACGAUGUGGGAAGGCCCAGACAGCCAGGAUGUUGGCUUAGAAGCAGCCAUCAUUUAAAGAAAGCGUAAUAGCUCACUGGUCGAGUCGGCCUGCGCGGAAGAUGUAACGGGGCUAAACCAUGCACCGAAGCUGCGGCAGCGACGCUUAUGCGUUGUUGGGUAGGGGAGCGUUCUGUAAGCCUGCGAAGGUGUGCUGUGAGGCAUGCUGGAGGUAUCAGAAGUGCGAAUGCUGACAUAAGUAACGAUAAAGCGGGUGAAAAGCCCGCUCGCCGGAAGACCAAGGGUUCCUGUCCAACGUUAAUCGGGGCAGGGUGAGUCGACCCCUAAGGCGAGGCCGAAAGGCGUAGUCGAUGGGAAACAGGUUAAUAUUCCUGUACUUGGUGUUACUGCGAAGGGGGGACGGAGAAGGCUAUGUUGGCCGGGCGACGGUUGUCCCGGUUUAAGCGUGUAGGCUGGUUUUCCAGGCAAAUCCGGAAAAUCAAGGCUGAGGCGUGAUGACGAGGCACUACGGUGCUGAAGCAACAAAUGCCCUGCUUCCAGGAAAAGCCUCUAAGCAUCAGGUAACAUCAAAUCGUACCCAAACCGACACAGGUGGUCAGGUAGAGAAUACCAAGGCGCUUGAGAGAACUCGGGUGAAGGAACUAGGCAAAAUGGUGCCGUAACUUCGGGAGAAGGCACGCUGAUAUGUAGGUGAAGUCCCUCGCGGAUGGAGCUGAAAUCAGUCGAAGAUACCAGCUGGCUGCAACUGUUUAUUAAAAACACAGCACUGUGCAAACACGAAAGUGGACGUAUACGGUGUGACGCCUGCCCGGUGCCGGAAGGUUAAUUGAUGGGGUUAGCCGCAAGGCGAAGCUCUUGAUCGAAGCCCCGGUAAACGGCGGCCGUAACUAUAACGGUCCUAAGGUAGCGAAAUUCCUUGUCGGGUAAGUUCCGACCUGCACGAAUGGCGUAAUGAUGGCCAGGCUGUCUCCACCCGAGACUCAGUGAAAUUGAACUCGCUGUGAAGAUGCAGUGUACCCGCGGCAAGACGGAAAGACCCCGUGAACCUUUACUAUAGCUUGACACUGAACAUUGAGCCUUGAUGUGUAGGAUAGGUGGGAGGCUUAGAAGUGUGGACGCCAGUCUGCAUGGAGCCGACCUUGAAAUACCACCCUUUAAUGUUUGAUGUUCUAACGUUGACCCGUAAUCCGGGUUGCGGACAGUGUCUGGUGGGUAGUUUGACUGGGGCGGUCUCCUCCUAAAGAGUAACGGAGGAGCACGAAGGUUGGCUAAUCCUGGUCGGACAUCAGGAGGUUAGUGCAAUGGCAUAAGCCAGCUUGACUGCGAGCGUGACGGCGCGAGCAGGUGCGAAAGCAGGUCAUAGUGAUCCGGUGGUUCUGAAUGGAAGGGCCAUCGCUCAACGGAUAAAAGGUACUCCGGGGAUAACAGGCUGAUACCGCCCAAGAGUUCAUAUCGACGGCGGUGUUUGGCACCUCGAUGUCGGCUCAUCACAUCCUGGGGCUGAAGUAGGUCCCAAGGGUAUGGCUGUUCGCCAUUUAAAGUGGUACGCGAGCUGGGUUUAGAACGUCGUGAGACAGUUCGGUCCCUAUCUGCCGUGGGCGCUGGAGAACUGAGGGGGGCUGCUCCUAGUACGAGAGGACCGGAGUGGACGCAUCACUGGUGUUCGGGUUGUCAUGCCAAUGGCACUGCCCGGUAGCUAAAUGCGGAAGAGAUAAGUGCUGAAAGCAUCUAAGCACGAAACUUGCCCCGAGAUGAGUUCUCCCUGACUCCUUGAGAGUCCUGAAGGAACGUUGAAGACGACGACGUUGAUAGGCCGGGUGUGUAAGCGCAGCGAUGCGUUGAGCUAACCGGUACUAAUGAACCGUGAGGCUUAACCU
rnacentral:rRNA from 1 species